CUGAAAUCAGAUGAAAUAAAUGUUGCCUGAGGUUUUAAACGUUUAAUAAAAACAACAUUUCAUUUGGAAAAAAUGUAAGAUAUGUAAAAUUACAUAUUGAUCAUUUUGCUGGUCUUGUAUCAUAAAACGUGUGGCCCGAAGAGCACGUGUCCGGUAGAGAUACGUCACUUGUGUUAGGAAUCGUUUUAUAACCUAUCACAGUAAAGGAACGUCCCAGCAUAGCAGCUGAAGAAUGCCGUGAAAGUUUUUGUACAAAGUACAAUUGAUCUACAAUUGAUAUUUUCCGCAAUACUUAUCUGGUGUUCGGUCAGGGUGUCCCAUACUCAUGAUAUUUAUGACAGUGGAAUGGCGUUAGUAAAUCAAUUACAAAAAUUUUCGAGAUCAAUUCUCGGUAUUGCAUCAAAUUAUUCAAAAUAUACAAGCAACACAACGUUGCCCUUUUUGCAGGCAACAAGAGGAAUAUCGACCACGCAACCACUUUCAGAAAAACAAGAGAGUAUAACAUCUAGAAAAAUAACAUAGUAUUAAUAGAAUAGUAUUAAUAAGAACAACAUUGACAGUGAACAACUAAAAAUAUAACACUGUUAUAAAUAUAUGAUAUACGAAUUUUAUUUAUGUAUUAUUAAGACAAGUAUAUCUUAUUUUUAAAUUAUUUCUAUUAUCAUAAGUGAUACAUAUAAUUAAGAGUAAAUAUAACGUUUGUUAAAGCAAGUGGAGAGAGAAUCAAAGCAAAAGGGAAAGUUGGAGAUACUAUAUUAGACAUAGUAGUAAAUAAUGAAAUUGAUUUAGAUGGAUAUGGUGCUUGUGAAGGAACAUUAACUUGUAGUACGUGCCAUUUAAUAUUUUCGAAAGAAGUUUAUGAUGCACUUCCUGACAAACCAACAGAUGAAGAAUUAGACAUGUUGGAUUUAGCAUAUGAAUUAACAGAUACGUUAUAAUCAGUAAUAUUAAUAAUCAGUAUCAAAUCAUUCACACUAUUAAUUCUAUUAUCUUAAAUACUACGAAACUGAAAUUAUAAUAAAUUUUCAUAGUUUUUUA